GGGCCCAGUCACGGCAGCUUGUCCUUAGGCUCUGCCCAUCAGUAUAGGGUGUUUCCCAAGGGGACAGGUAGAGAGGGAGGGGGUCAGCAGGGACACUAUCAGCAAGAGAUAGAAAGGAGAAGGGUCUGUGAGUCCAUUGAGGCAGAAAGAUGGAAGACAGAAAGGGGCUAACGCCUCGUAAAGAAUGUUCUUCCAUCCUCCCAAGGCACAGGUGCUCCCGCAGGUCAAAUAGGGAUUUUGAAACAGAUGAAGACUGAGUUGCAAGAUGAGGACAGGAGUGAAAGGGAGAGGACUUGGAGAGCCUGGAUGUUGUGGCAUGGAGUCUGCAGAUUAGGCAGUCUGGGGCAUCCUUGUAUGAAGUUUGAAGGGGACCCAGUACCUUCCUUUUUAGGGUGAAGUGGGAAGUGGAGAGGAGUGGAGAUACUCGCCAUCACUCAGAGUGCCCAAGCUACCCUGGAAGAUGCCCUUGGGCUGGCCCAGGUAGAGGAGCAGAGCAAGAAGGGGCCACCAGUGACCUCCCGGCUGCCGGACUGAACAGAUUCUGCUGAGGCCUCAUGUCACUUGGCCUCUGAGACAACCCCUCCGUCAUGAGCUGCUCUUCCUGUCGGCCUUCUUGACACAGUGUUCUCCUCACUUUCUCCAGCCCCCUAAGCCCCCUUCCUUUUCCCACUUUUGUAGGAGUCAGGGCUCCUUCUCACUCACCCUGCACUGCCCCUGGGACUCACCCUGAAUCUACUUAUCUCCACUGUCACGUCUUUAACUACCACAUCCAUGUCUCCAGCCCAAAACUGAUUUCCAUUGAGGCAAAACCUCUGCCCCCCACAUCCAGCCCAUGUGCAUCUAGGGAAGAUGGUGCAGGUAUGGUCCUUGUUUACCAGCAUAUUCCAUCCUCCUGGCCACAAAGUUAGGUCUAGGAAUAGGCUGUACAUGGCCCAGUUUGAGCUAGUGAGAUAUGAGAAGAUAUUCUCUGGGAAAAAACUGCCUCACCCUCAUACACUCAUUGGACAACUGCUUUUCUCCUGAUGGAUGUAAAUAAGGAAGCAUGUAGCUCUCAGAACAUUCUGGCAGCCAUCCUGUGAUCAUAAGGCAACCAGUCUUAGGAUGAAGCAGACAGCCUGAAAAUCUGAGAAGAAAGAGAGAAGAAACUGGG
rnacentral:lncRNA from 1 species